rnacentral:lncRNA from 1 species
AGUUAUGUUUUCUCUCCCGGAGUAGAGCGCUUGUUGAAGACUUCGUUUUUCUCCAGCAGUAGUCUCUCCCCGUCUGUGUUUGAUUUCCUCAGAGAGUCAGCAGUAGUCUCCCCAGAUUGGGUAGAUUUCCUGAUACUUUUGAUCCUCGGUAGAGUAGCUGAUUGCAGAAUCUACUGGUGUGUUGUUUUCCUCUCCCUCAGUGGGUUGUUCCCCAGCGGAGUUGUUUGAGAUGAUUGCUAGUGUUCCCCAAGUAGAGUU